rnacentral:tRNA from 1 species
GGCAAGGUGGCCGAGCGGUCUAAGGCGCGCGGUUAAGGCUCCAAUUCGGAUCCCUUCUCUUGAUCUUUCAAGUUUCCGCGUCAUUAAUUUGGCGUGGGUUCGAAUCCCACCCUUGUCA